GAUGAACGCUGGCGGCGUGCCUAAUACAUGCAAGUCGAGCGAACAGACGAGGAUCUUGCUCCUCUGACGUUAGCGGCGGACGGGUGAGUAAAACGUGGAUAACCUACCUUUAAGACUGGGAUAACUUCGGGAAACCGGAGCUAAUACCGGAUAACAUGUUGAACCGCAUGGUUCAACAGUGAAAGACGGUCUUGCUGUCACUUAUAGAUGGAUCCGCGCCGGAUUAGCUAGUUGGUAAGGUAACGGCUUACCAAGGCAACGAUGCGUAGCCGACCUGAGAGGGUGAUCGGCCACACUGGAACUGAGACACGGUCCAGACUCCUACGGGAGGCAGCAGUAGGGAAUCUUCCGCAAUGGGCGAAAGCCUGACGGAGCAACGCCGCGUGAGUGAUGAAGGUCUUCGGAUCGUAAAGCACUGUUAUUAGGGAAGAACAAAUGUGAAAGUAACUAUGCACGUCUUGACGGUACCUAAUCAGAAAGCCACGGCUAACUACGUG
rnacentral:rRNA from 1 species